GUCGAACGAUCCUUUUAGAAAAAAAAAAAUAGUGGUCUUCGUGUGAGUAAUGCGUGGGUAUUUUUCCCUAAGGAUCGGGUUAUGUCGCCGAAAUGUGAAAUAAUACCGGAUAAGACCACAGUUCUUAAGAACGGAGGUUAAAGACGGGGACCCUGAAAAUGGGCCUGUCACCUUUGGAUAAGCCCGCGUCUUAUCAGCUAGUUUNAGGUUCAUUUCCUNCCAAGGUAUAGACGAGUAGCUCGCUCUGAGAGGAUGGUCAGCCNCUCCGGUCCNNUAUAAGNCAUU
rnacentral:misc_RNA from 1 species